CCCCCGUCGUCGUGCGGCCGACUACCGGCGCCGUGUCCCGUCGGUCCCGUGGCUUAUGUUACCGUUGCCUUUCAAGUGCUUGCGUGCUGGUACCCGAACUACGGGAAUUGGUGCAUUCUACAGGUUGCCUCGCGGUGGACGCCUUUGGGUGUUUCGCUGCGGCCAAAUGGCGCUUGCGGCGUUGCCUCGUGGCGCUAGCACGUUUACGUGUUGGUGCUAUCAAGGCAGCCUCGCUCCCGCUGUUGGUCUCGGAUGUUGCCAACGAUGAAGCGUCGUGGCCCUUUUGGUUGCCACGGCUCGACCCUAAGAAGCUCUCCGAAUUUGAGAACAACCGGAACAGGUGUUGCCUCUACCUCUCCACAGUUAGUGGUAGGAUACGCAACAUUCUGCGCCGAUCCUCAAGCAAGUAGGACGAGCUUGGCCCGCUCAAUUGCGACAACCGGCCCGACCGUUGCCUCUGCCUUGACACGCAAGUGGAUGGGCGGACAACUGCCGACGCUGGGCGUCAAAGAGGACGUGCUACCUGGUUGAUCCUGCCAGUAG
rnacentral:misc_RNA from 1 species